AGGACUGUACUUUCAGGGAUCAUUUCUAUAGAUUGGUACUAGAGAAGUUCCUCUGAACGUGUAGAGCACCGAAAACCACGAGGAACAGGUGUGGUGUCCUCUCCUGAGCCUGAGGCUGGUUCUUGGUGUUGUUUUAUUGCAACUGCCAAUUAUCACUGAUGAUCGUCCUUGCUUUUCACUUAGAAGAGCAAGACGAGAGAACACAGGCUUUUGCU